GGUUUGAUUGGCUCAGAUUGAACGCUGGCGGGAUGCUUUACGCACAAGUCGAACGGCAGCACGGACUUCGGUCUGGUGGCGAGUGGUGGGUGAGUAAUGUAUCGGAACGUGCCUAGUAGCGGGGGAUAACUACGCAGCGUAGCUAAUACCACAUACGCCCUUCGGGGGAAAGCGGGGGACCUUCAGACUCCACUAUUAGAGCGGCCGAUAUCGGAUUAGCUAUUGGGUGGGUGGCUCACCAAGGCGACAUCCGUAGCUGGUUUGAGAGGACGACCAGCCACAGGACUGGACACGGCCCAGACUCCUACGGGGAGGCAGCGGUGGGGAAUUUUGGACAAUGAGAGAGAGCCUGAUCCAGCCAUCCCGCGUGUGUUGGGAAGGCCUUCGGGUUGUAAAGCACUUUUGGCGGAAAGAAACAUGCAGGAUAUGCAAUGCAACUGACGGUACCUGCAAGUCACUUCCGGCUAACUACAUUACCAGCAGCCGCGGUAAUACGUAGGGUGCAAGCGUUAAUCGGAAUUACUGGGCGUAAAGCGUGCGCAGGCGGUUCGGAAGAAGAUGUGAAAUCCCAGAGCAACCUGGAACUGCAUUUUUAACUACCGAGCUGGAGUGUGUCAGGAGGUGGAAUUCCGCGUGUGGCAGUGAAAUGCGUAGAUGGAGGAACACCGAUGGCGAAGGCAGCCUCACUGGGAUAACAUGACGCUCAUGCACGAAAGCGUGGGAGCAAACAGAAGUUAGAUACCCUGGUAGUCCACAUCUCAACUAGCUGUUGGGGCCUUCGGGCCUUGGUAGCGCAAUAACGCACGAAGUUGAUACCGCCUGGGGAAGUACGGAGUCCGCAGAUUCAGAACUCAAAGGAAUUGACGGACCGCACAAGCGGUGGAUGAUGUGGAUUAAUUCGAUGCAACGCGAAAAACCACCUACCCUUGACAUGUCUGGAAUCCCGAAGAGAUUUGGGAGUGCUCGCAAGAGAACCAGAAACGCAGGUGCUGCAUGGCUGUCGUCAGCUCGUGUCGUGAGAUGUUGGGUUAAGUCCCGCAACGAGCGCAACCCUUGUCAUUAGUUUAACUACGAAAGGGCACUCUAAUAGAGACUACCGGUAUCAAAGCGGAAGGUGGGGAUGACGUCAAGUCCUCAUGGCCCUUAUGGGUAGGGCCCACACGUCAUACAAUGGUGGGACAGAGGGUCGCCAACCCGCGAGGAGGCCAAUCCCGAGGAAACCCGAUCGCUAGUCGGAUUAUAGUCUGCAACUCAGCUGCGUGAAGUGGAAUCGCUAAUCGCGGAUCAGCAUGUCGCGGUGAAUACGUUCCCGGGUCUUGUACACACCGCCCGUCACACCAUGGGAGUGGGUUUACCAGAAGUAGUUAGCUAAAACAUAUAAGGAGGGCGAUUACCACGGUAGGAUUCAUGACUGGGGUGAAGUCAUGUGGUAG
rnacentral:rRNA from 1 species